rnacentral:lncRNA from 1 species
UAUUGUAUGUUAGUGGCUUACCAUUUUAAGGCAUAGUGUUAGUAUUUGUGAUGAUUGCUGUCUUCUCAAAAGUGUUGAUGUUGCUGGUGAUGUGGUUCAAAUUAUAAUUUAACUAAGGUUUCCGUGGACCUCCCAUAACCAGCUAGAUCAAAUUCCAGCUUAUACCAGGCGGCAAGUUGUUUGUCACUCUGUCUGAGACUGGAAAAUGUUUUUCAUUAUUUUUUCACAUUGUGAUAUAUGGUAAUUAUUUAACCAGUCAGAAAAUUUACUUUAAAGGUAACUUCAAAGAGUUAUAUAAUUAAAAUGAUAUUGCACUUGAGGAAGUUCUGCACUUUUUUUGAAAAUGGAGCCAUCCAGAUUUAAGUCAGGUGUCCACUAGUAAUCAAUAGUUGAUACAGUUACAAAUCUGGGAAACUGAUCGUGUCUAUCGUUACAGGUGUCUUGAUGCAUAUAGUGCUCACAUCUGCUCCAUUUAGACCCCACAUUUCUUAUUAAACAUUUUUCGCAGUUUAUAAAUUUUGUGAAAUACCUGCUGUGGUCUGAUCUCUUGAUCAUAUACUGUAAGUUCAUCCUCAG